CGGGGACCGGGGACGUCCAGGCGGAGAUGUUUUGACUCAACACUGAGCCGGAGGGAGAAGCCUGCGGCAGGACCACUGCGUGAGGCUCACUGGGAAUAGUGGCGGCCCGGCUUCCACCGUCGCCGGGUUUUUUACUUGGCCCUUAACCACACACACACACACACACACACACACACAGCCACAAGUGCACAGAUGUGGAACUGACAUUCACAAAGCAGACCAACUGCAGGGAGUCGCUACGUCAAACACACACUUGGCUGUGUUUGAUUCCGGAGGCCUGGCGUCGCUGCCGGCACCUGGGCGGGUCCGAUCGGCUCUUUUAAUGACCCUCCUGGGAACCCUUACCUGAUGGGCCGGCUUCUGCCCAACGUGUCCAGGUGCGGCAACAUAAGCAUUUCAUUAAAAAUUGAAGGCAGCGUUUUUGCAGAGGAGGUCUCCAGUCGGCCGAGGAAAAGGACGGCGAAGGGAAGAAAAAAAACAAAGAAAUGUUCUGGCACGCGUCCAACGCUCCAGUCAAUCUGAGCUCCUUCUCCUUCUUGUCUGUCUCAUUUCCUCUCUCCCCGUCUCGCUCCCUUCUGUCUCCCCCUCCUCCCUAUAAUCACACUCUGACUUUACUUGACCUUUCUGUGGCUAAUUAGUCGGCUUGUGGAAAAGGAUGGCGCGUAGCGUAUCUCUGGCAACGGGGGC
ensembl:lncRNA